GGCCAAGAGUUCGUUGAUAAGGA
rnacentral:siRNA from 1 species